rnacentral:rRNA from 1 species
GUCUAUGGCCAUACCACCCUAAAUGCUCCCAAUCUCAUCUGAUCUCAGAAGCCAGGCAGGGUCAGGCCUGAUUAGUACCUGGGUGGGAGAAAGUGGAGCAAUGAUGG